rnacentral:rRNA from 1 species
CCCUUAGAUGUUCUGGGCCUCACGCGCGCUACACUGACGAUGUCAACGAGUCUCUCCUUCGCCGAAAGGCGCGGGUAAUCUUCUGAAACAUCGUCGUGCUGGGGAUAGAUCAUUGCAAUUCUUGAUCUUGAACGAGGAAUUCCUAGUAAGCGCGAGUCAUCAGCUCGCGUUGAUUACGUCCCUGCCCUUUGUACACACCGCCCGUCGCUACUACCGAUUGAAUGGUUUAGUGAGGACUCCUGAUUGGCGCCGCCGCGCCGGCAACGGAGCAGCGGACUGCCGAAAAGUUGUUCAAACUUGAUCAUUUAGAGGAAGUAAAANUCGUANCA